AGGCAGCUAGCCCACGUACGCAACCUUUCUCUCCUUACCUCCACCUAGAUCGGCACGUCCUCCCCAUCCAUGGCGUGGCCAGCGGGAGAGGCGCUGGGUCCAGUCAAAUCGGCCGGACGCGUAGUGUGGGGAGGUCGGGAAGAUGGAGAGACGGCGGACAUAGGGGUCGAGUGGGGUAGGUGUGGCUGCUGGAGAAGAUCGGAUCUCUCAUCUCCCCUAUUUUCCUGUCGCCACCACCUCUCCUCUCAUCCAUGUCAGGGCCUCGCCUCCUCGCCCUCACUGCCCACCGGCAACCUCCCAGUCCCCCUAGCCGCAUGGUGGCGAAGAUAGCAGCGGCCAGUGUUGUCACCGCCGAUUCAGCUUCGUUUGCGUGCCGGGGUGGUGGUCUCGGCAGGCGGUAUGGCAGGGUACGAGGAGGGGAGGAGGAGGAAGAAGAGGAGGAGCAGGAGAGGUCCGCCGCUGAGGGGGCGUGAGAUGUAGAAGGUGUUGGGGAGCCGUGGGUGGCGGAAACGCUGGUGGCGCGCAAGGCAGAGACGUGCCUGCCGAGCCCUCGACGGCGAUGGGUCUGGGUAAGUUCGUUGCUUUUAGGCUUCGGUUUAAUCUGUUGGACUGGAUGAGAUUUGGUUAGCUUGUUUUUCUUUGGUCUGUGCUUCCGUACACGAAUGUUUUUGUUGGGGCCGUAGCUUGGGAGACAACCGAAGGUAGAUACGAGUAAUUCCUGUUUGGAAUGCUAGCAUAUACUACUUCUCUGUCGUCGCUGGAUUAUUAUUAUUGCAGUUCAGUAGCAGUCAUUAUUGGCACUGCUAAUUGUAUUUGGAAUGCUAGCAUAUACUAAAACAAACAACAACCAUAUAUAACUUCUUAUGCGUCAUCAUUGAUUGUCCGGGUCACUUCAGGGAGGCGUGUUGUGGAAGUUGCAGGUUGCAGGUUUGUGCUAAGUGGGGGAGAUGUGGUGAAAGCGGCGAAAGGGAAAGGCUCCGGAUUGUUGGAUUGGGAGUUUGGACUCUGCAUGCAAAAUGAUUGUCGGCCUGAAAGGCUAGGAUUGGGAACUCCUCUGGGUUGCUCUUUGCUUAUACAUGCAACAAAAUAUAUUGCACUUCCACUGAUCACCGUUCAUCUCUACAUUCUCAGUAGGUACUUUAAUUCAAGAGCUUUUCUCAUUGUGAUAGGAGAUAAUUUGAUAGAUUCAAAACGUAUCUAUCUAUUUUUAUUAAUUUGUUCAUUGCUCAAAUGGAUGGUAUUUUCUUUUCAAAGAAGGAAGUAGGAUGGAUGGUUGUAGAAAGAGAAUUGUUGUACAUGGAUGGCUUUAUUUGUUGUCGUUUGUAAUGAGUAAUAUAGCAAGUUUUACAAAUUGGAAGGAUUUCGAUGCUGAUCAUGAGACACCAAAGGAUUUCACUAUUACUAGGGGUCUCAAAGGGAACAAGUUGUUGUAGACAAAAUGUGAAUAUUUAUCUGUUUGUGGUGAUAGAUUUUUUUCCGGGUUUGUAAGACUACUCUGACAAUUAUAUAUACCAAAAUCAGGACAUAGUUCAGUGGAUCAGAUGGGAGCACUACAAAGUUACAUAUAGAUAUGAUUAUUUCCAAACUUUGUAGAAUAGAUGACACCGUACAUGUUCUAUGUGAUGUGCCCUGUUGCCUCUGCCUAUGUGAACCCAAAUAUCUGAGAAUAAACUUUGUUUGUCUUGUUUGUCAGUUUAAUUUAUUAUUACUUAUUUAACUUGCUAGGAAUUGAAUUGGUACCAAAUAUACUCCCUCCGUCCCAUAAUAUGUAUUGGAUGCAAUAAGGUCUUAUAUUAUCAGACGGAGGGAGUAUUUUUUUAUACCUACAGAAGUGAAAUCAUUCUUUUGCAGGCGCUGGUGCUUACGGUUUAACUUCUAUUGUUGUUGGAACCAUUGGCUAUUUAUACAUAGAUCCAAGGUUUACAUUUAUCUCCCUGUCAACUUGGUGCCAACAUCAUAUAUGUUAAAACAUUACAAAAUAUAAAGCCUAUUACACUGUCCUACUCUGAUGUCGCAACUAGAGGUCGUCCUGUUCCUACUCUGAUAUUUGAAGUUCACCAUUGGCACUUCUCCUAAAGCUAACUUGCUAAUUUGCAGGGAUGAACAAUUUCUGAUAUGAUGUUUGUGACCAAGGUGGCUUGGCUGAUGGCUGCAACAUAGUUGGCAAACAAUUGGAUCAGGUUUCAAAAAAUGUUCAUGUAAGACUUUUCGUCCUGUAUUCACUUAAAUAGUUCAACCACUUGCUCGGAGAGAGGAUGUCGAGGAUGAUGGUGACGAGCAAGUCGGAGUUCGUGAGGCCGAAGCCAUUCCAGCUCUUCCACAGCCACAAGGAGAGCCUUGACAGGCUGUACGAGUGGGACAAGAAGCUCUACGAGGAAGUCAAGACGAGCGCGUUCGGCUGUGGUACGACAAGAAGUGCGUGCACCUGAGGAGCCAUGACGCCAACAGUGCGGAACCGUUCGCCCUCAAGACGACCAGGGCUGCCAUCAGGACCUCGGGACCAAGCUCAGCAUCUCCCUCGCCUCCAUCGACACCGUGUCCCAGAGGGUUAUCACCUCGCAACAACGAGCUGCUGCCUACUGCUGUAGGCCGUAGCUUGCUUAGCUCAUCCGAAGGUGCAUGUAUUUAUUAUAGUGUGCUCAAUCGAUCCCCAAGAACACUGCCGCGGUAGGUGUUUGAUCAAUGUUUCACAUUGUUGUGUUCUAUGUAUAGGCUGAUAAGGAUGUAGCGAGUGAUCCGCGUGAACCACCGGGUGAUGAAGCGCAUGGCGGACGAGGCAAGCGUUCUGUCAUCGUGGGUCGCGCGGUCGUUCAUCAAGACUUUUAGUGUAUGUACAUGUGCUAUCCAGACUGAAAAAGGCAACUGAAAAGCGCCGUAUCAGGUGGCGCCUCUUGAUCUCCCAUGCACCUAUGACCUAUCAGUGCAAUGAUCAUCUUCUACUGCGCAUGUUUCUGCUUGUAAUUAACUAUGUAAUUGAUUUCAAUUCCUUUAUGAUAUGCAUGGCAAUAUAAUAUGUUCAUCAA